rnacentral:rRNA from 1 species
UACGAAGGGGGCUAGCGUUGCUCGGAAUCACUGGGCGUAAAGGGCGCGUAGGCGGGUCUUUAAGUCAGGGGUGAAAUCCUGGAGCUCAACUCCAGAACUGCCUUUGAUACUGAAGAUCUUGAGUUCGGGAGAGGUGAGUGGAACUGCGAGUGUAGAGGUGAAAUUCGUAGAUAUUCGCAAGAACACCAGUGGCGAAGGCGGCUCACUGGCCCGAUACUGGCGCUGAGGCACGAAAGCGUGGGGAGCAAACAGG